AUAGUCUCAAAUCACUCGAGAAUGUUUCUGGUUCCUUACCAAGGUAAAAGUACCUCUUGAUUUGUCCUACCUCUAUAAGCUGUAUUUGGAGUUUUUGGGUAUGGACCAAGGAGAAUGCAUACUUACCUUGUAUGUAUUGUCGAGUCAAAUCUCGGAUCCAAGAAGAGAAGUGUCAUACCCUUAGAUCAAGAUGUGCAAGUGUGUGGUAUAUGGGAUAAACAACUCUGUUGGUUGAUAUGAUCUCAUCAAGUAUUUCUAGAUAUGGCUAUCAUAACUCUUUUAUUUUCUUGUGAGCCUUCAUGUGCUCAUCUUUUUUUUUGUAUACUUAGGACCUUCAUGUGUCCUAUAUUUUUUUCAGGUGGGUAUUUUUAUACCCCUAAUUCUACGGCGGGCACUUGCCCAUUUUUUUAUACCCCUAAGUUUCAAAUCAUCCUACUAUAUCGCAAAUCUCAAUUACUUAGAAGCAAUUGGUCCUUAUAAAAAGUUGUUCAUAAAUGGUAGGCUUUUGGCGAGGAAUAAAGAGUAUGCAUGUUUAAUUUCAAAGGCAGAAAGGAAAUGGAGUUUUCAUUUAUUUUUUAUCUUUUUAUUUUAUUAGCAAUAUUUUUAUCAUAUAAAUCAGAUUUAAAUUGUCAUAGGAGGAAUAAAAAUAAUUCUGAAAUUUUUUUCUAUGUUAGAUUACCUUGAUGGCGAUUCCUCCCCCACACUUGUUUUUGUACCUGUUCUUUGAUUUUUCACAAGUAGACAAAAAUAAUACAAAAACAAGUGGAGACAAAAUAAUUCGAACAAAGGACUUCUUUGUUAUUCAAUAUAAGCCG
rnacentral:lncRNA from 1 species